CGGGGUGUGGCGCAGUUGGCUAGCGCGCCACGUUCGGGACGUGGAGGUCGAAGGUUCGAGUCCUUUCACCCCGA
rnacentral:tRNA from 1 species